AUGUUCUUACCCAGAGUUCCCUAUCCUCCCUUACCCAGAGUUCCCUCACUUACGUCCUUACCCAGAGUUCCCUCACCCUCCCUCACCCAGACUUCCUUCACUUACGUCCUUACCCAGAGUUCCCUAUCCUUCCUUACCCAGAGUCCCCUCACUUACGUCCUUACCCAGAGUUCCCUCACUUACGUCCUUACCCAGAGUUCCCUCACCCUCCCUCACCCAGACCUUCCCCCACCCUCCCUCAAUCAUACUUUCCUCACCCCUUUCUUCACUCAGAGUUCCCUCACCUUCUGUGUUUUUUUUUUUUUAAUCAAUGGAGAGAAGAGUUACAACUUUCAUCCAAUUUUUGAAAAGCAAUCCAGAACCCAAAAGUGCUCUGCACCAUCAGCUGCCUUUAUCAUCAAAGACUCUUGGGAGACCAGGCUGCUAUCUUGCAAGGCCCGAAUUACAGAGAUGAAGAGGACACAUUCUCUGCCCUUGGGUUACAGUUUAGGAGAGGAAGCAGGAAGGAAUCAUCAAAGGAAUAAUUAUCUAUUUAAAAUUUGGAUCUGGAUGCAAGGUUGGAACUGUAGCUCCUGGAGCCUGAACAGCACCCUCUUUGGGGGUGGGAACAAACAACCAGCUGGAAAAGAUGAAAGAUUACUUGGAUAUUAUGACGACCUAGGGGAUUGGAAUUACUGCAAUUGUGUCAAGCAAGAGUGGGAUAUAUGUGUGUGUGUAUCUCCUAAUGUUGUAUUAUCCUUCUGUUUGACUGUCAAGGGAGCAACUUCUUGCAAUAUCACGAUAGGAUCACUACUGUUGACUAGGAAACUAUCUACAACAAGAGAGUCAUGUGGAAAUGGAGAAAUAACAGAUACCCCUGUCUUCAAAUAA
rnacentral:lncRNA from 1 species